CAGUCGCCACGGUAAUACGAAGGGUGCAAGCGUUAAUCGGAAUUACUGGGCGUAAAGCGCGCGUAGGUGGUUUGGUAAGAUGGAUGUGAAAUCCCCGGGCUCAACCUGGGAACUGCAUCCAUAACUGCCUGACUAGAGUACGGUAGAGGGUGGUGGAAUUUCCUGUGUAGCGGUGAAAUGCGUAGAUAUAGGAAGGAACACCAGUGGCGAAGGCGACCACCUGGACUGAUACUGACACUGAGGUGCGAAAGCGUGGGGAGCAAACAGGAUUAGAUACCCGGGUAGUCCCUGUCUCUUAUAC
rnacentral:rRNA from 1 species